UGCCGCGUGUGUGAAGAAGGCCUUCGGGUUGUAAAGCACUUUUAUCAGGAGCGAAAUACUGCCGGCUAAUACCCGGCGGGGCUGACGGUACCUGAGGAAUAAGCACCGGCUAACUUCGUGCCAGCAGCCGCGGUAAUACGAAGGGUGCAAGCGUUAAUCGGAAUUACUGGGCGUAAAGCGUGCGUAGGCGGUUCUUUAAGUCUGCUGUGAAAUCCCCGGGCUCAACCUGGGAAUGGCAGUGGAUACUGGAGAGCUAGAGUGUGAUAGAAGAUGGUGGAAUUCCCGGUGUAGCGGUGAAAUGCGUAAAGAUCGGGAGGAACAUCAGUGGCGAAGGCGGCCAUCUGGAUCAACACUGACGCUGAGGCACGAAAGCGUGGGGAGCAAACAGGAUUAGAUACCCUGGUAGUCCACGCCCUAAACGAUGCGAACUGGAUGUUGGUCUCAACUCGGAGAUCAGUGUCGAAGCUAACGCGUUAAGUUCCCCGCCUGGGGAGUACGGUCGCAAGACUGAAACUCAAAGGAAUUGACGGGGGCCCGCACAAGCGGUGGAGUAUGUGGUUUAAUUCAAUGCAACGCGAAAAACCUUACCUGGCCUUGACAUGUCUGGAAUCC
rnacentral:rRNA from 1 species